rnacentral:rRNA from 1 species
GAUGAACGCUGGCGGCGUGCCUAAUACAUGCAAGUCGAGCGAACGGACGAGAAGCUUGCUUUUCUGAUGUUAGCGGCGGACGGGUGAGUAACACGUGGAUAACCUACCUAUAAGACUGAGAUAACUUCGGGAAACCGGAGCUAAAACCGGAUAAUAUUUUGAACCGCAUGGUUCAAAAGUGAAAGACGGUCUUGCUGUCACUUAUAGAUGGAUCCGCGCUGCAUUAGCUAGUUGGUAAGGUAACGGCUUACCAAGGCAACGAUGCAUAGCCGACCUGAGAGGGUGAUCGGCCACACUGGAACUGAGACACGGUCCAGACUCCUACGGGAGGCAGCAGUAGGGAAUCUUCCGCAAUGGGCGAAAGCCUGACGGAGCAACGCCGCGUGAGUGAUGAAGGUCUUCGGAUCGUAAAACUCUGUUAUUAGGGAAGAACAUAUGUGUAAGUAACUGUGCACAUCUUGACGGUACCUAAUCAGAAAGCCACGGCUAACUACGUG